ensembl:lncRNA
GGAAGAAGAUGAAUAUUCUGUAAGAGUUUCUGAAACCAUGUAGAUAAAACUUUGCUACAGAACAUGAAAGAAGUCUGGUGAAUAUUGGUAGCAUGAUCUAUUGUCAGAUGAAAUCAAGAAAAAUGUGGGCUCAGAAGGAGUCCAACAUGUUGGGUAUGAACCUGACUGCGACUACCACAGUGAAUGCAUGGUCCUGACAGUGAAGAACGGAGGUGGGAGUGUGAUGAUAUGGAGCUGUAGGAAGUGUUGGGAAGAUGAUAUGUCUAGAUGAAUUUCUGUGGAUAAACCAAAAUAUUGUCAGCCUAGAUGACUCCCAGUCUACAGAAGCUGGAAUGAGAGGAAUAUUCCAUCAUGACAACAUACAAAACACAAAAUAACAGUUUCUAAAGAGGAAAACGGUGAACUACAACUUGUUGUCCAACUGAAAUCCAAUGAAAUACCUUCAGCCACACAACUCCUCCAGCAGAGGGCAGCAGAAGAAUGAGAAAACAUCUCUGCAGAAGAACUGAAAGAAUAAAAGAUUUGAAUCUCAGUGUUGACUUUUGUUGAACCAAGUUCCCACUGUGGAGCCUUUUUUAACGUCGUAAACCUAAAGUGUUGGUUUUUAAUCAUUGCACAGAGCUGUUCUCUCUUCUGUUGGAAACCACUUUAAAGGUGCUUUUGCUUAAAAUAAAUCAACUAAAUUCAGCUCAGCAACAAAAUGUUCAGUGUCAGUGAGUUUGAAGUGAGACUGUUCUGUUCUGACAGGUCGUCUGAAACACUUCCUGGACCGCCGGAGACAGAUUCCGCUACGGAAGACGAACUGAAACGUGCUGCUGAGUAAACUGUGAAACCUCCCAUCCCUCCACACGGAACAAACGGAGCCUCUGUCCGGCUGACGACGACCAUGCAGUUUGGAAACUGUACAGAUUACUGAAUGGACUUCAGCACGACAACCAUGUAAACUUUUUCAAGUAAAAAAAAACAACAACAAAAAAACAGACAGAACACCGAAAACUGGAGCUAUGAGGGUUUCAAGUGAGCGACAGCAGCAUUAUGAUAGUGUUUCUGUUUUCACAUGCUCUAUGGUCUGCCCUGCAGGCAGAGAUGAGGACCAAACAGCCCCGACACCGACGGCAACCAAACACUCCUUGGCUUUAAAGAAAAGCGGCUGCAUGUCGGUGACGGAACUCUUCCUCCGGGUCUCUGCUCCGCUGGCAUCACAAACAGACCGUAGAAAAACAGUAGCUUCUUACAUUAUAAAUACUAGAAUAAUAAAAACACGAGGGGCGCCGGGUUGGGUUCUUCCUGAUGGAUCCCCUCUGAGGCGACCGAUCCGGCGCCCCUCGGCGAGCUCAGAGAUCUGAACGCGACUUCCAGACAUGGACUGUACAGCUGAAGCUCUGGGACAGGAAGCUAAAGUCUGUUUGCUGGUGUCGGUAUCGUGGUGGACCGCAGAUCCUCCGAAACAAACAAAAAAAAAAAAACAAGCAGAACAUCCUCAGAGAAAUGAAAGAGAAACGGAUCAAUGCGACGGAUGGACCAACAGCAUGAAAGGCGAGUAUCAAGGCAAUCAUCACUCCGUCCAAUCACGGUACAGCGUUAAGACACAUGUUGACAAGCAAAGAGCGACUCCUAGACGACACGUUUACUGGACGUUUACUGGACGUUUACUGGACGUCUGCAUGAGCCGGGAAGUCUGGGAGUGUUUAUCCAACUAUAAUUCCAAUUAUUGGUGAUUUUUAAUGAGAUGCUGAGUUCCAGUGAACACUUUCAUCUGAUUAUUUAACCCCCUGAACCCAAAAAAA